AAGAUUGCUAUGAUCAUGCAUUGUACUUAGAAAAGGGAGCAGUGGAAUCUCAACCUACUGGCAGAGCAGCUCUCUAAGGCAGCUAGCACUUCUCCCAGCCUUGCACCUUCCCUGUCCUCUAAACAUGCAGGUACCCUAAUGGAAUAACCUUGGCAGGCCAACACCCCACACUUCCAUCAGCAAAGGAAGAGAGAAAAAUCUAGAGACUGUCCUAGAGGCAGAGUGUGGAGGGGCAAGUAUUCACACACCUGAAGCAGCGCUGCAGAAGGAAAGGGAAAAAAAAAAAGGAAAAGAAAAAAAAGCAGGCAUUGGAACAGCUUAUUCCUGAAUGGAUCCCGCGCCCUCUGCUGGAGUGCUGUGCUCAUCCCAGCCCAGGCAGGGAGGAGAGAACGGAAUACAGGUGUGCCAUGGCAAGGUCAGAGAUGGGAACAGGCAGGGGCCAGUUAGGAGGGAGAAAGCUCAAAGGAUAUAAUGCAAUGUAAAGGCUGAGGGGAAUGAGGGGAAAUGAGGGGGAAAUGAGGGGAAAUGGGGGGAAAAGGAAGCACUACACAAUAAGUGAUGAGGGGAGGAACUUGCUCCCUACAGGGUACCCAGAGGGGGAUGGACAGACAAAGGGAUUUGGGGCUGUCUCAGCUCACUUCACAGCAAAGACCAGACCCCAAAAUUUGGACACUACAGCAGAGGGGAAUUUGGAAUGUCAGGUUUACUAAAACAUCAUCAGAAAUCUCAGGCAUGCAUGAGAUGUUUUCUGCAAGCACAGGUGAAAUCAGCGAUAUAGAUGAAGGGCACUGCCUGCACAACCUCUAGGGAGGGCUCCACCUCCACCUGUGCUGCUCAACUGACUGCAGCCAAUUUCCCAGGAAGUUCCAUUAUGUCCUUUGAUGUCCCAACAACAAUACUGUGCAGCAGACGUAAGACAAGCUAUCCUUGCAAACUUCUCCAGGUCUCUGGCUUCAGGGAUACUCAGAGGAGGGGCAGAUCAGUAGAUGCUGCAAUGUCCACUUCUGAGAAUGCACAGGUAUCACUGAGACUCAGCCCUUUACAGCACAGUGUAUUUGUACCUCUGACACCUGGGGCUGCCCCCAGUCUGGAACUGCAGCUUCGUCAGGGAUGUGGGUGGAUGAAAAGCCCUGGGAGCUUUUUUCCCGCCCUCUAUGAUACCUAGGUUUGAUUCCUAUGUGGACAUUUAAAGGAAUGGCAGGACUGUGUGGGGUGUGCAGAGCAAUCAGAAGUCACAAAGUGAGCAGCUGCAGGAGGCAAACAGCACCUGGUUGAUUUGGAAGGAGCUAUAGCUACACAUGGCUCUAUAACAAGUUUAGGAUAGGAAGUGACUUCCUGAAACACAGUAUCAAAACCUACUGGAAAGGGUGAUUUUUUCCAGUAAUAAACAAGGAAAUUAUUCCUCUAUGAGUAUGCAAAUUGCUACUCAGCAAAUGGCCUGGGCUAUAGGGAGCUGUUAAUGUGCACAAAAUCAAUACCCAGACAGUUUGUCUGCUCCACUCAAAGGCAAACACAGCAGCCACACUGGCUUGGAUUUGUCUGGGGUAUGGAAUAUAAUUUCCCCCUUUGGAAAUAGAGAGUGCUGUGCAGACCUGAUGGUUUCACCAAGAACCUCAACACUUCACACAGAUUUGACCAGCUUACAAAGAGAAAUAGACACAGGGUUGUCACAUUUCUCUGGUGAGAACAUGACCUCUUCCUUAUUCAUGAGCUUCAGACUCUCACUCUUUGUGACUACUUGCUCCUUUUCCAGGAGUGGAUGUCUGCUGCCUGCAAUAAAUUUGAAAAUUAGGGAUGAACUCUACACAGUGCAGCCAAUGUCCAUUGAGUUAUGGUUCAAGACUCUUUAAGGGUCUGUGGACAAGUUUUAAGGAGUCCAUAAAGGUCACAAAGGAAAAAUAAUGGGUUGUCAGCAAGCUGGUAUUUACUGUACUGCUAUUCUCAUCCUCAGCAACAAUAUGUAGAGUAUCUGUAAAUAAAAGAUUGGGAAGCAGUUAUUUUACUCCAUCAGAGCUUGGGAAAAGUCAGAUCUAGAUCUCUCCAAAGGGUCAAAGCUAUAUAACACCAGUUAAUACCAUUAAACUGUAGAAGUUGAACUGAUUUUGAUCUAGACAUAAAUGUCCUGUUUCUGCCAAACUUCUGUAUUAAUACUAAAGUCUGAAGAAUGACCACAAGCAGAUCACCUAAACCUAGAAGCUCAUUGUUUCCCAUUUUUAACCAUUCCAAGAUCUUCUCUUUUGAUCCCAUGACUGGACAUUUCACUCUAAAACCUUCUGACCUAAACAAGGAUACUCACCAUUACCACUGUGCUUGUUUAUCUCUUCAAAGAAAUCAGUGUCCUAAAGCAAAACCUUCCAUAACAGAAAUUAUGGUGACUUUUAUGAAGGACAUUUUUUGUAUUUAUCAGUUAUUCAUUGAUUCAAUUCCUUGUUACACAAUUAAUUGUCCUCCUACAGAAGUUAAAUUUACCAGACUGCAAUACCUUAGGUACACCUAAGGAAAAUGUUUUAAAGAAAGUCACCACCACCUUUGUUAUUCUGCAGACUGCAGGCAACAAUGGAGGAUUAAGUGAAUGAAGUGUUGUACGUAAUUCCACAAUUUCCCUUGAAAGCCAUGAGUGAAUAUCACUCAGUUCUGAUGAUCUGUCAGCAUUCAAUCUGUCUGCAACACAGUUUCUGCCUCAGUUAUUCAACAGAAGAGAUGCUACUCUGUCCUUGAUUUCAUUUCUUCUAAUUCAAUGACUCCCCAAAUUGUAUUAUCUACUGGAAUCGCUAAUUCACUUCUAGGAAAAUCAUUUUAACAGACCAAUUAUGACAGCAAAUUCAAAUGCUGUACUCAAAAUUAAUAAAUUUAUACUCCUUGCUGCUCCUUCUUCCUGACACUUCCUUUAUACCUGUAUUGCCACAAAUGCAGUUUAAUACUCUGUGGGCCCUUAUGACAGAUGCAGCUCAACUGGCCAGCCUUGCACAGCUUAUGCCUUCAUAAUUAACCCUCUAAAAACCUUCUCCCAAACUUACCCUAAGCUGGAAUGGUUUAAAAAACCCUCUUUAUCUUAUCUUGCAGUAAGACAAACUGAAGAGGGUGCCACAAAAUUUAACACCAUGCAAGGGACUGAAAAAAUGUAGGACGACAGAUUCCUGGGGCUCACAGACACUGCUCUGGAGUGGCCUCACCUUUUGCUGGGGCUCCCUAAAUCCCAGAUUUCAGAAGGAAGCCAUGAAAUGAGUAUUUACAAGAGUGGAGAUCAGGGCUGUGCUUGCAGCCUGACCAGAAAUGCCUUUAUCUCCAACACCCAUUUACAGUUCUGACAAAUGAUCCCCUGCAGCAGCCUGAGGCAGGUGAGAUGACCACUCCUCCCUUCAGAUCCUUGCUACCUGCUAGAUAAAAAAGACAAUUUCAUAGGAAAAAAAAAUUAAUAGAAGCAUUUUAUGUUUUACUUAAUAAAUACAAAAGGGGGAGAGGUGGUGGUGAUAGGGAGAUAAAGGGGUUUGCAUCCUUGUAACCCAAAUCCGAUUAAUUUUUUGGGGUGAAAAGAUGAUUUAUGUGAUAUUGCCUGGACAUUAUACAUCUACCUGUAGUUGUGAGCAAUCUCAAUUCUACACACGUCACUGCAGGUUUGGAGCACUGCUGGUGCAGGCUGGCAGUGAUGGGGUCUGUAAUGAUGGGAUCCAAAACACAGCUCCUUGGCAGCAUUUGUGCCACUCACUUUAGUGCAGUGGGGUUUGGGACAGCAACUUCCCUCCAGAGGGGAGAGAAGAAUCAUCUGGGCUGGAUGAAGAAGGGAAAGAGAUGAAGUAAGCAAGUGUAGUUUAAAAUGUGGCAGCUGAGAGAACAAAAGACUUUGUAAAACAAGCAAAAUAUGUGAAUUAACUCAAAUGUGCAAAUGUGUCCAAAGCAGUGAGGGCUUUGGGUGAGGGAGCAGACAAGCACAUGUAUUUGAUGCUGCCACAGUGAUGGGGGAGAAGAAAAAAGAAAACAAAACUGUGUGGGAACCAUUGCCUUUCAGCAAGACACAGACUCUUUCAUGCAGUGGGAAAACAAGGCUUUUUCCUUGACUGUUGUCUCCUUGCUCUCUUCCAGCAUGACUGUGAGGCAGGCACAUGGAUAAAUACCAUGUACUUACCUUUGUGGCUCCCAAGUCCAGAAGCAAGCAAAAGCUGAGUGAAGAGUAAUUUGGAGAUUGCCACUGAGCAUUCCCACAUGCAGUGCCCACUAUGAAGCAGGAUAGAUCUUGUGGAAGGUGGUAACACACUGCAGAGUGCCCAAGCUGACUCUGUUUAGUCUUGGUAUCCAACCAGACACAGAAUGCAGGAGAUGCAAAAGCAUCUUCACCAACUUUAUCUUUCCUUGAGCAAAGGCUGGAAUGGAGUCAGACACGUCCCUCACCAGCACUACACUGAUCUCCAGCCAGGAGAUCACUCCAACCUGAUGGCAGGCAGAGCUGUCACAGCAUGGAGGGACCAUCCCUGCAGGACCAGCAGGGGGACAUGCCAAAUUAUCUUCACAUCUUUCUCUGUAGCAGGAGUUCAGUGCAGCACUGCAGCACUCACCUCUGAGGAAGGUGAAAUUCUGCAAGGAGACGUGGACUGUCCUAAAAAAGCUGCAGACCCAUACUAACUCCACAUCAAGCAUUUAAUAUGAACACAGCAAAGUCCAAGAGGGCAACCAGCCUUUUUGACAUAAAAAACCCCACACAACACUUUAAAAAAUACUGAUUUUAUUCAUUUCUAGCCUAUUCAACAGUGGAACACACCAGCAGGAACAACCACAAAUAUCGCAAUACAAGGUUUCACCAGGUUCUCACCUGUGCAAUUCUGGAUUUGAGUCAAGCACAUAUUAUGGCACCACCACUAAUGAUGAUGAUUGCUGUUCACAGCUCACUCGAGUCCCAUCUCCCUGAUGCACUUCCAAGCCAAAUAACCUUGUUUCCCACUAUGUGUGGGAUUGUCUGCAGAGAAUUUGUGUUCUCAAAGCCUGAACACAGCAAAAAUCCUGAAGCACACACUCCAGCUAAAAAUUCCCUGUACCUCAUUUGUUCUUUAUUUGAAAGAGUUUGAGUUUUCAGUGAAACAAACAAAAAAGCCCCCACCAACAACAAUUUCUCAGAAAUAUUGGACCUGACCUGUAUAAAUCAGGUCCAGUAAGGGAGCUGGAAUUACUUAUCUCACCACAUGACCUGGCCUGCUAAUUCCAGCUGUUUUCCUUGGAAUGAUGCAUCAGAGCAAGGCUUCACACCAAAAGCAAAGCACCCCUGUCAAUAUGCCUGCUGAUGGUGUGGGCACACAGUACUGCCCAAGGUUUCUGCCCCAUGGAUUUCCCCAGUAUAUUCACACUUUUCCAAAGGUAGCCUGCACCUACGCUGACUCUGAAGACAACUGCCCUUGCAAGAAGGGUUCAUGGCAGCUCUGGUCACUCAUGGUCAGUCACACGGCCUUGACACACAUAUCAGGAUAAAGGGACUUGGAGGAUUCCCACAGCUGGUCUGCACUGAGAGAUAGAGCGGGUCCCUUGGGAUUGUAGAGUGCAUUUUGCCUCCCAAGGACUUCACGCUGACAUCCACACCCAGAACUACUCAGAAGAGCUGCACCAUGAGCAGCCUUCACCUGGCAGCUCAGGGUUUCUCUAAGCCCAGUCCUACAAGCCUGUGGGAGCCACAGGUAGUCAGGAAGCUCCUCAGAGAUCCAGACCCUCAGCCAGCAGCACAAAGAUGCAUUGAAGUCCCAGAGCUGCCAAAUCAGAGAGCUGCCUCCCAUCUCUUUUCCCUCACACACUGAUGCUGAAAAGUGCCAGGCUAAAAGUCACUCAGGGAGAUAUAGAGGGUGUUACUGAUAAAGAGUUCUAGGGAAGCUGGAUGCCCAGAUUUCCAUCAAACUACCUUCUGGAAAUCCCAGCUGUCACAUUUAACUCCACUCUUCCCCUCAGGCUUUCCCCUUCCAGAAUCAAUUCUUCCUACCCCCCUCCCACUUCCCUGUGCAGAGAGCUGGCAACACAAACAAGCUGGAUCCACACAUGGUCAUGGAAAUUUGGCUGCAUGGCUGACCUUUGCUGCUGCCAAAGGGAGGGAAUUCCAGGCCAGAGCACCCCUCUCUGCCCUUCACUUUUCAGAGCUAAUUGGGUUUUCUAUCACUUUCAGCAUGGCACAGCAUGGACUCGUGGAGCUUGAAAAGCAGCAGAGGUUUUUAUCACCAUGGUGCAACGGGAGAAGACUUCAGAGCAUUUUCUGGGAACGCCACAUACAGUUAUAUUACAAUUGCAGAAUUGUCUGGCUAUUGUGUCUCCUAAGUCACACAAUGGACUACAAACAGUGCUAUUUCAGUGAAACUCUCUACAACCACUGAAAAUAAGUCACUAACUCCAUUAGAGCAGGCAAUGGACUCACAUGUUCACAAAAAGUGACUACAGAUGCUGAAGCCAGGUGCUUUGUAGGUAACUGAGAAACACCUCUGGUUUGGGCCCAUCCGUCAGGCAGCAGAUAUUUUGCACGAACAGGAUGAUUACAGCUUGUAGAGCUUUAUGAAACAUCUACCUUUUUAUCCGAGUUAUGAAAGCACAGCUUUGAAAAGCACAGUAAUCCAAGGCCAAAAAGACAGGCAGGCAAAUGGACAGACUUUGGCCACUCAUUUGGUUUUCUUAGAGGGAGUUCUUUGCUCUUUUAAGGGCUGACCUCAUGCAUUUGCCAGAUCUGGAUGCUCCACUUGAAAAAAAGGCUCAAAGGAAUUUUCAACAGCAGA